rnacentral:rRNA from 1 species
GACGAACGCUGGCGGCGUGCCUAAUACAUGCAAGUAGAACGCAGUUGCGAACGGGUGAGUAACGCGUAGGUAACUGCCUCAUAGCGGGGGAUAACUAUUGGAAACGAUAGCUAAUACCGCAUACUGUGAGAUGGACCUGCGUUGUAUUAGCUAGUUGGUGGGGUAAAGGCCUACCAAGGCGACGAUCAGUAGCGGGUCUGAGAGGACGAUCCGCCACACUGGGACUGAGACACGGCCCAGACUCCUACGGGAGGCAGCAGUGGGGAAUUUUGGACAAUGGGGGCAACCCUGAUCCAGCCAUGCCGCGUGUAUGAAGAAGGCCUUCGGGUUGUAAAGUACUUUUGUUAGGGAAGCGGUACCUAAAGAAUAAGCACCGGCUAACUACGUGCCAGCAGCCGCGGUAAUAC